rnacentral:misc_RNA from 1 species
AGUGAUGUUUAUAGCUUUGGGAUUGUUGUUUUGGAGAUAAUGUGUGGGAGAAAAGCUCUUGAUUUGUCUUCAUCAGGGUCGCCACGAGCUUUUUUGAUCACUGAUUGGGUUUGGUCAUUGAUGAAAGCUGGAAAAGUAGAAGAUGCCUUGGAUGUUUCUUUGCUGAGAGAUGGGGAGUUUUCAAAUUCGAAUCCAAGGGCCAUAAUGGAGAGGUUUGUGCUUGUUGGGAUUUUGUGUGCCCAUGUGAUGGUGGCCUUAAGGCCUACUAUAUCGGACGCUCUGAAAAUGUUGGAAGGAGACAUUGAAGUUCCGCCUGUUCCUGAUCGGCCGAUGCCUCUUAGCCAUCCUUCAUCUUUUGGUGAUGGCUUCACCAUCUCCCCAGCACUGAGUUUUCCACAAUUGAAUAGUGGAGACAUGCUCAGGUAAGCAUUGCCUAAAUGGAUGUAGGAAAAUGGAGCAAUAUUUAUAUACAAAUCAUUCCUUCAGUUGAUUCAAGAGAAUCUUUUUUAGUGAAAAUGGACUGAUAUAAGAAUUCUUGAAUCAAUGAAAUGGAUAUCAGUUAGCAUGUGAUUCAUGUCCAAGGACCUCAAGUUAAGGGCGCUAGUGUCUGAGCCUGCUAAUUUCUGACAGUAUGUAUCAUAAACAUGGAUGCUUUAUGUUCUGAUACAUCAAAAAUGGCUUAUGUGACUUAUUAGUGUAAUUGAAGCUUUGAAUUUUUACUACCAAUCCAGGGAUGCAUUGAGUAAAGUUUGAACAUCGAGAAAAUAGAUGCAAAAGGACAAUUGGGAAUCAACAACUGCCUUGUAAUUGAAGAUUUUUUUUUUCCUUUUGAAUUUUUAUCUUUGCUUAGGAUGUUGUUACCCAAAAAUAGGACCAUGUAUAGAAUCUCUCUGUAGAAAGAAAAUUCAUAGGAAAUCACUAUGUAAUUUUCAAUAUUUCAUAUACUCUUUAUGCAUUAAAAUGUAAAAAUUUUCCCUGUUUUUCUCUUUUUCCUUUUGUAAGAAAGCUUGCUAUUACUUGUGUUCAGCUGUGACUUGUCAAAUAAAAAGGAAAUAGAUUUAGAAAGCUUUUCUUCUCUUGUAUGUGUCGGCAUUCUGUUAUGAGAGAGGGUUAUGGAGGGAAAAGCUAGUAUUGCAGUUACAUAUGUCUUAGAAGAGUAGUUAUAACUAAUAGAAAAGUUGCUAGCUAGAAGUAUAAAAAUAGAA